UUUAAAUGUAAAUAAUUAAUAUUAGAGUAGUAAUAGUUAUGUUCUUAAAACUUAAAAAAUUUGGCGGUAUUUUAUUCUAUUCAGAGGAACUUGUUUUAUAAUUGAUAAUCCCCAUUGAAUCUUACUUAAAUUUGUUUAAUUUGUAUAUCGUUGUCAUAAGAAAAUUUUUAAAAAAUAAUAAUUUUCUAAUUUAAUAAUUUUUUUAUAUGUCAGAUCAAGGUGCAGUUUAUAUUUAAGUAAAAAUGAGUUACAAUUAAAUUUAUUAAAAUAUGGAGUAAAUAUUGAAAAAUAUUUAUGAAGGUGGAUUUGAAAGUAAAUUUUUAGAGAUAG
rnacentral:rRNA from 1 species